CAAUUGAUUAACCAGAAACAUUAAAUGAGGAUAAAAUUUUACCGUCAACAUCUUUAACUUCAGUAUCGCCAUAAUUAAACAUCAGACACAAUUAAAAUAAAGGAUAGAAAAAAAAUUGAACCAAAUGAACAGUAUAAGGAACACAACAAAAUAAAGGUAAUAAUAGUUUUAAUAACUGUAAUAAGGCAUAUAAUAAGAAAAAGUUUGACUUUAAUAAGUGUGGUCGAAACCAUGGAAUUAAUAAUUGCUUUAGGAUUAUUUAGAAAAAGUAGAAAGUGCUGAAGUUAUGAACUGAAAUCAUUUAGAAGUUAAGUAUCAAUAUAAUGAUAAAAAUUAUUAAUAGUAUAUACUUAGUGUUGACAUAGAUAAUUAUUACUCAUUUGAUAUUGUAAAAAUUGUUAAGAUUAAGAGUGAAAAUAAUAGUUAGAAUACAAAAUUUCAAUUGAGAAUAUAGAGAUUGAAGUUAAAUUAGGUACAUAU